rnacentral:lncRNA from 1 species
UUCCCCUUUAGCGACAAUUCUGUAUACAUCACAAGACAUUUGGCUUUUGCCUUAGAUUUCAUAAAUAAAUAAAAAACUUGCCCAUACAUCAUAAGACACUUAGCUUUUAUUUAGGGUUACGAGUAACCUUAGAACACUAGAGUUUCCGCCCUUAGUUGAAAUCAAUGUGAUAAACAGGCUGUUUGUUUGGAAAGAACAGCCCCCAGUGUCUCUCAGUCUCUUCUCCAGGUUUCUUAUUCUCAUUAAACAUGGCAAACAUAUAAGUCUCUAAGGGGACUCCAGGUCUCUUUGGCGUCCCUCCCUUCACGUGCUUGAUCAAAUUUGAGUUGUAAAUUCUCGCAUUCUCCUUCGUUGUCACUGUCCCAUCCCCGCCAGCCGAGGGCCAACCAGUCUCUGAUACGACGAUUUUCAAAGAACCGCCUCCAGCCUUCUCUAAUGCUGAGUAAGCCGCAUCCAAGAGUGCAUCAAACAGGUUUUGAUACCCUAGGCUCCCAUCAUUCACUACAACUGAGGGAGAUGUAAAAAGAGCAUACUCAAGUUUAAUAUCCUUGCGAUGGGAAAUGUAACUGAAAUACGGGUACAUGUUAAAGAGUAACGGAGAUUUGUUUCGCACUAAGAAGCUGAUGAUCGGAUCCAGAAAUGGACGAUAGUAGUCCUGCCGGAAUGAGCCCUCUGAUGGAGGGUAGGAUAUUCCAAGAAUUACAGGGUAAACCGCAGUGGAGACCUCGAUUUUGUUUGCAAGACCAGCCUUAGAAAUUGCAUUUUUGAAUUU